CUCAGAUUGAACGCUGGCGGCAGGCCUAACACAUGCAAGUCGAGCGGAUGAAAGGAGCUUGCUCCUGGAUUCAGCGGCGGACGGGUGAGUAAUGCCUAGGAAUCUGCCUGGUAGUGGGGGACAACGUUUCGAAAGGAACGCUAAUACCGCAUACGUCCUACGGGAGAAAGCAGGGGACCUUCGGGCCUUGCGCUAUCAGAUGAGCCUAGGUCGGAUUAGCUAGUUGGUGAGGUAAUGGCUCACCAAGGCGACGAUCCGUAACUGGUCUGAGAGGAUGAUCAGUCACACUGGAACUGAGACACGGUCCAGACUCCUACGGGAGGCAGCAGUGGGGAAUAUUGGACAAUGNNNNAAAGCNNGAUCCAGCCAUGCCGCGUGUGUGAAGAAGGUCUUCGGAUUGUAAAGCACUUUAAANNNUANUUGUAAAGCACUUUAAGUUGGGAGGAAGGGUUGUAGAUUAAUACUCUGCAAUUUUGACGUUACCGACAGAAUAAGCACCGGCUAACUCUGUGCCAG
rnacentral:rRNA from 1 species